rnacentral:rRNA from 2 species
UGUGGCGGUUAUACUGGGUUUGUCCCACCUGUUCCCAUUCCGAACACAGAAGUGAAAUAACUCAAGGCCGAUGAUAGUGGUUUUACCGCGAAAGUAGGUAACCGCCACAA